GCUGUGGACAUGAAAUCAUGUCAAACUCAAUUACUUAUCUAUACGUAUAUUGAUCAGAAGAUGAUAAUUUAGUUGAUGAUAUAUUAGAAAUCUCUUUCAAUUAUCAUCCUGCUUUGGUCAAAGACUUUCAAAAUCAUCGAUCUAUGAGACACAUAGAAUGUUCGCUCCUCUUAGUAGGAGUGACUGAUCCCGUAUCGAUCACUCACAAUCUCCAUGCACCCUUCACCACAUUCAGAACACCUCACACA
rnacentral:lncRNA from 1 species